CGGAUGAAUUGUGGGUAGCGGAGAAAUUCCAAUCGAACCCGGAGAUAGCUGGUUCUCCCCGAAAUAGUUUUAGGACUAGCCUCAAGUUAGAUACCUGGAGGUAAAGCACUGAAUAGCCUAGCGGCCGAGAGGUUAGCGAAGCUUAUCAAACUCAGAAUGCCAGAGUAUUGAUGCUUGGGAGUCAGACAGUGUCAGAUAAAUGUCAUUGUCAAAAGGGAAACAGCCCAGAUCUACAGCUAAGGUCCCAAAGUCAGGUUAAGUGGAAAACGAUGUGAAGAUACGCAGACAACCAGGAUGUUGGCUCAGAAGCAGCCACUCAUUCAAAGAGUGCGUAAUAGCUCACUGGUCGAGCGUCUUUGCGCGGAGAAUUUAACGGGGCUAAACCUGACACCGAAGCUUAGGCAAUCCAGUAAUGGAUUGGGUAGGGGAGCGUUGUAUACGCGGAGAAACAGUAGCGUAAGCGGCUGUGGAGUGUAUAGAAGUGAGAAUGCCGGAAUGAGUAGCGCGAAUGCAGUGAGAAUCUGCAUGGCCGAAAGCCUCAGGUUUUUGGAGGAAGGUUCGUCCGCUCCAAGUUAGUCGGGAGCUAAGGUGAGGCCGGAAGGCGUAGCCGAUGCACAGACGGUAGAGAUUCCGUCACCACCAAAAGAGUUAAGCACAGGGACACAUUUGAAGUCUCAGAGCCGGGUGUUGGUUCCGGUAGAGAUCGAGGGAAAUUAGUACCGAAGUCUGAGAUGGAAGAUGGCGAGAAAAGCUGUGUGUAUUUCUGAGGUGCCCGUACCGCAAACCGACACAGGUAGGUAGGAAGAAGAUUCUAAGGCCAACGGGAGAAGGGUUGUUAAGGAACUCGGCAAAUUGACCCCGUAACUUCGGGAGAAGGGGUGCUCCAGAGAUGGAGCCGCAGAGAAUCGGCCCAAGCAACUGUUUACCAAAAACACAGGUUUGUGCUAAAUCGAAAGAUGACGUAUACGAGCUGACGCCUGCCCGGUGCUGGAAGGUUAAGAGGAGAUGUGCAAGCAUUGAAUCGAAGCCCCAGUGAACGGCGGCCGUAACUAUAACGGUCCUAAGGUAGCGAAAUUCCUUGUCAGGUAAGUUCUGACCCGCACGAAUGGCGUAACGACUUGGGCGCUGUCUCAACAGCCCACCCGGCGAAAUUGUUGUACUGGUGAAGAAGCCAGUUACCCGCAACUAGACGGAAAGACCCCAUGGAGCUUUACUGUAGCUUAAUACUGGAAAUCGGUAAAUCAUGUACAGGAUAGGUGGGAGACUUGGAAGCCAGGGCGUCAGCUUUGGUGGAGUCACCCUUGGGAUACCACCCUUGAUUUGCUGGUUUUCUAACCUGCGGCCGUGAAUCCGGUCGGGGGACACUGUUAGGUG
rnacentral:rRNA from 1 species